rnacentral:rRNA from 1 species
UACGGAGGAUGCAAGCGUUAUCCGGAAUGAUUGGGCGUAAAGCGUCCGCAGGUGGCUAUGUAAGUCUGCUGUUAAAGAGUGAGGCUCAACCUCAUAAGAGCAGUGGAAACUACAUGGCUAGAGUGCGUUCGGGGCAGAGGGGAAUUCCUGGUGUAGCGGUGAAAAUGCGUAGAUAUCAGGAAGAACACCGGUGGCGAAAAGCGCUCUGCUAGGCCGCAAACUGACAACUGAGGGGACGAAAAGCUAGGGGGAGCGAAAUGGG